rnacentral:rRNA from 1 species
GGCCGUUCUUAGUUCGUGGAGUGAUCUGUCUGCUUAAUUGCGUUUCACUAAGGGCCCAUAAAUUCAAGGUAUGUUAGCUAUCGUUUCUCAAUUGACCCCUUGUCUUCGAUAAGCGCGUGUCUUUUAGAGUUUAAACAUUGCGCAUGCUGUUGGGUCCUGAAAGCAACGAACGUGACCGCAACGUCUUAUUGCCUUUAUCUUGCUAUAUUUUAAUUUAAUUAAAAAUAGCUAACAGAGGCUAAUUUAAAAUUAGACGGACCGCUGUACUUUUCUUAAACCAGAGGAAGGUUGCGGCAAUAACAGGUCUGUGAUGCCCUUAGAUGUUCCGGGCUGCACACGUGCUACAAUGAUCAGUACAGUGAGCAUCUCAAUAUUAUACACCGUAUUAAGCGCUUAGUUGCGAUUAUUGGCUCAUUAUUGGGUCUUUUAAUUGUAUUUCUAAUGCGCGCGGUAAAGCCUGCUUCGAGAGUAAGUGGGUAAUCCAUUGGAAGUAAUGAUUUCUCUUUUUAUAGCACACCUAUAUACGGCAUUCAUUCCCGGGACGACUAGUUUCGUCUUUUUUGUGCGAAUGUAAUGUAUUCUUUAUCCGUAUGUGCGAUUGUCAA